ACUCCUGCGGGAGGCAGCAGUGGGGAAUUUUGGACAAUGGGCGAAAGCCUGAUCCAGCAAUGCCGCGUGUGUGAAGAAGGCCUUCGGGUUGUAAAGCACUUUUGUCCGGAAAGAAAUCCUUGGCUCUAAUACAGUCGGGGGAUGACGGUACCGGAAGAAUAAGCACCGGCUAACUACGUGCCAGCAGCCGCGGUAAUACGUAGGGUGCGAGCGUUAAUCGGAAUUACUGGGCGUAAAGCGUGCGCAGGCGGUUUGCUAAGACCGAUGUGAAAUCCCCGGGCUCAACCUGGGAACUGCAUUGGUGACUGGCAGGCUAGAGUAUGGCAGAGGGGGGUAGAAUUCCACGUGUAGCAGUGAAAUGCGUAGAGAUGUGGAGGAAUACCGAUGGCGAAGGCAGCCCCCUGGGCCAAUACUGACGCUCAUGCACGAAAGCGUGGGGAGCAAACAGGAUUAGAAACCCCUGUAGUCCCAUGA
rnacentral:rRNA from 1 species